rnacentral:sRNA from 1 species
GUGGCCAGCGGACCAUCUCUCGUGCCCUCGCUCUCUGCGCUCCGGGGCAGCUGAGCCCCGGCCACCCGCUCUCCAAGAUGAAGAAGCUCCAGGGAGCUCACCUCCGCAAGCCUGUCACCCCAGACCUGCUGAUGACCCCCAGUGACCAGGGCGAUGUCGACCUGGAUGUGGACUUUGCUGCAGACCGGGGGAACUGGACAGGCAAGCUGGACUUCCUGCUGUCCUGCAUUGGCUACUGUGUAGGCCUGGGGAAUGUCUGGCGCUUCCCCUAUCGAGCGUACACCAAUGGAGGAGGUAUGGGCCUGAGGUCCUGUCGGAGGGUGUCUGGGGUGAUGGGCCAAGGCCCUGGGGUAGAGUGAGCUUUUAGGUGGCCUCAGCCACUGUCUCCUAGGCGACCUUGGGCAGAAUUCAUUGAAAGUGGUUUAUAGUAACUUGGGGCUGGGAGGAAGGAGUUUACCCUGUCUUGUCCUUCUCAUCACCCAAGCCCUUCCUUCCUCCCUCUCAUCCCCAGGAAGGAUACCCACAUGGUUCCCUCUCUAAGGCUGGCCACGCCACGCCCUGCAUGGUGGGCAGAGGGAGCUGCCUCU